rnacentral:lncRNA from 1 species
AGCCAUGCGAAGAUGUACCUGCUUCUGCUUCAUCUUCUGCCCUGAUUGUAAGUUUCCUGAGGCCUCUCCAGAAGCAGAAAUCUGGAAAGUCUGCAGAACUUUUUCUCAAGAGGGAUUUGCAGAGACAGGAUGCUAUGAAAUUACCUCUCCCAUGCCCUCCACAGUACUAAGACUGAGGUACCUGUCUACAUCAAAAGAUGAGUACUACAAUGCAGAUGACUUAGCCAGGACUGAUAUUCUUAGAAGAAAAAAGAUUAAGACACAGACAGAAGAAAGACCAUGUAAAGGCACAAGGAGAAGACAGCCAUUUACAAGCCAAGAAGAGAGGUCUCUGAAAAACCAACCCUGCUGGCACCUUGCUCUUGGACUUCUGGCCUCCAGAUUUAUGAGGAAGUAAAUUUCUGUUGUUCAAGCAACCUGAAUUGGUUUACUUUCAAAUGGCAGCCCCAACAAACUGAUAGUUGGCUGACUAGGGAUGUUGGAUGCCAGGUCUCCUCAGAAAGAUCAAAGUUACAGGUGAAUGCCCAUGAUUUAAAUGGAAAUCUGAGGGAAUGAAGCAAGGACCUGUUGGAGCACCCAUGGGAAGAACCUGGGGCACAAAAGAGGAAAGCAGCAAGAGACUGACAGAGAUUGUCUCCCUAGAAACCUGGACCACGAAAAGGGUGGAGAGGAGAAAACUCUGUGCUAAAUAUUACUCCUGGAAAAGUGCAUUUGCUUCGGAGAAAUCUUUAUCAUGGGUCUCUAAGAGGAAGGAACAAUAGCAUCUUCUAUGUGCCGAGGUAGCGCAAUAAUGAACUCUGUUCAAGUGGAUCAAAAGCCAUCAAGGUCAAAAUUAGGCACAGGCUGUACAGGAAGCGUGAUUCUGGCAUCUGUUUGGUUUCUGGGAAGGCCUCAGGAAACUUAAAGUCAUGGAAGAAGGGGAAGGGAGAGCAGGCACGUCUUACAUGACCAAAGCAGGAAGAAGAGAGAGAAGUGUGGAGGAUAUGGAUGUUACUUUUUCUCCAAGCAUAGGGAAAGUGCCUCUGAAAUAAAGAUUUUAUGACUUGCUUCAGGAAAGAAGAGCAAGAGGAAGGUGUUGUCGGUGAAAUUGUAUCCCUGAUAAAGGUGUCUGUCUGACAUCCAAGUUGGAGUGGAGUGGCAUGAUCCUAGCACACUCCAGCCUCGAACUCCUGAGCUGAAGCAAUCUUCCAGCCUCAGCCUCCCAAGAAGCUGGGAUUAUAGGCCCAUAGUUGGAAGGGACUUACCUUGUCCCAGAUGAGACUUUGGAUUGUGGACUUUUGAGUUAAUGCUGCAAUGAGUUAAGACUUUGGGGGACUAUUGAGAAGGCAUGAUUGGUUUUGAAAUCUGCAGACAUGAGAUUUGUCAGGAGCCAUGAGCAGAAUGAUAUGGUUUAGCUGUGUCCCCACCCAAAUCUCAUCUUGAAUUGUACUCCCAUAAUCCCCAAGUGUUGUGGGAGGCACCCGAUGGGAGAUAAUUGAAUUAUGGUGGUGGGUCUUUCCUGUGCUGUAAUCAUGAUAGUGAAUGAUUCUCAGGAGUUCUGAUGGUUUAUAAACUGUAGUUUCCCUGCACAAGCUCUCUUCUCUGUCUGCAGCCAUGUGAGACAUGACUUUCACCUUCCACCAUGAUUGUGAAGCCUCCCCAACCACAUGCAACUGCAAGUCCAUUACACCUCUUUCUUUUGUAAAUUGCCCAGUCUCAGGUAUGUCUUUAUCAGCAGCAUGAAAAUGGUCUAAUACAGGGUUGAACUCUGAGAUUUUAGUCUCUUUUAAUUUGUGAGUGGGAAAGAACUUCAUUGACAGCCUUUAAGAAGUAGACUUAAAUUAUAGGAGGAUACAAAUAGCUUUGCCUUCUCAUAAAAUGAAAUACACACACAAACACACAGACAAAAUUUUUCUAUAUCAAUAGAAACAAAAAACAAAGUCUUUCAAUAAAGUUUAAUGAAUAAAUAGGAGAUUAAGAUCUUUAGUUAAUGUAUAGCUAUCGCAAGUCAAUUUCAAAAAAAAAAGCUAAGUCUCUAUUUUGUAUAGAAGAACUCUUCCAAUUACAUUAGCACUAGCUUAAAAGAUUCCAAACUAGAGCAUUUAUUUUACCACAACUGGUUCUUACCAGACAUAACAGAUAAAGAACCAUGAAUUCUUGUGACCUCAGUGUGCCAAACUCUUUCUGGACCUAACCGUAGACACAAUCUUGACCAAUCAACAAUGGUACUUGUUUUAACCAGGUGGAUACAGGCCUAUGGACUCAUUCUUAUGUGGUUAGAAUAUUUUCUUUUUAUUCUUAAUGAGUCACUUCCUUUCUUUUUAGCAUAUACAAGCCCUUUAACAUUUUUCCUAGCAAUCUGGUCAGUGGAUUUCUUCACUGUUACAUGUCCCCUUGUCUGGCAAGAGGAAAGUGUUUUUAUCUUUAUAUUGCAAUCUAAAUGAGCAAAAACCAGUAUAUGUUUCAAGAAAACGUUAAAUACCAAUGACAUACAAAUUUAGCUAAACUACACAUUUACUGAUAAUGAAGUAAAUAAAAACAAAAUAAGAAUAAUUUUAUAUUCGCUCAAGAAUUUGUUAUUAUAUGGGGGAUGAGAGUAUAUGGAAGUGAAUAAAAAUAUAGAGUAACUGUCUUUAAGUAUUUGAUUGUAUUUUUAAACACUGAAAAACAAUACAAAUCUAAAGUAUGGUAAAAUAGGUGCUAUCACAUACAACUUCAUAUAUACAUUGAUGCAACAAUUUUGAAAAGUAGUUUGGUAGGAUACAACAAUAGCUAUAACAUGUGCAUAUUCAACAAUUUUACCACUUGAGCCUCCAUCUUGAGAAACUUUAUAUUAAAAAUUAUUUGCAAAAUUUUUGUAUGCUUACUUAUAAUGAAGAAUUAGAAAUAAUCAAAAGAUACAGUGAAGGAACUGCAAAAUAGAUUAUGCCAAAUCUGUGUAAACUACAUUAUGAAAUACCAAAAAAGAUGCUUAUGUAAUAUCUACCAAAAUAUAAUAAAUGACUCAAAAUAAAUGAUACUUAUAAGAAAACAAAAUUAAAAAUUGUAUAGUAAUAUAACCUUAUUUGUGUAAAAUAUGCUGAGAAAAAGUGGAUGUUAAUAAAUAACAAUAUUUAAAAUUAUUUGUCUUUAGGUGAUCCUUUUCUUUAUAUUUUUCUAUAUCACACAUUUUCCAAAAUAAGAACAUUUUCCUUUCUAAAAUUUUUUUCAACUUUGCUGUUUCUAUGUCAUUUUGUUUUGACACUGAAAUGUUAGGUUAUCAGGAAUUAGAAAGACUUUGAAGUAAUUUAUUUUACUUUUUUUUCUUUUUAGAAAUUCUGUGGCGUAACAAGUUGCUGUCACACUGGCUUUUUAAAAUAUAUGUAUAUAUUUGAAAUACACAUGCACACAACUAAGUUAGAUUCGUCCACCGUUACUAAUAGAAAACUACAAUGUAGUGGCUUAAAAGGAGAAGGAAUUCUGUUUCUCAUGGUUCAGUGUGAAUGAGUGCAGUAUUCAAAAACAUGAAGUCAGAGUCCAGUACUCAAGUUCUGUAUCACUGAACAUCCUGUGGAAGGCCACCAGUCAAAGAGCAGCAAGAGCACACCUAAAUUAGGAUUAUUAGCUUGCUUCAGCUAAGGAGAAAGUUCUUCAUGAGAGCCAUCUAACCUCUUGGAAUCAGUUCAAUAAGUGGUUAUCUCGGGAAGUUUUAUUAAGAGUCAGAAGAAAUGAAGCUAGGCUGGGCAUGUCUUUGCUCAGAAGAAAAAAUUGUUACCAUCUUGCAUUAGCUUUGUGGUCUUUUUGAAUAAUAAUUAUAUUACCAAAACUAGAGAGAAAAAGUAAAAGAUCUAUAGCAUUGCUAACAUCUACUGUAUGUAAUUUGUUAUAUUUUUUAUUAUGUAUAAUAAAUGCUAUUCAGGCUCUUCUCAAUAUUACAUGCUUACAUUUCAGCUAAGAAAAUGGUAAAUUGUAUUCCAUAGACAUAUAACUUGUAGAAAAAUCAUUAAUUUAAAAAGAGCCAUAGCCAGGCACUGUGGCUUAUACCUAUAAUCCUAGCUAUUCACGCUGUCUAGAUGGGAGCAUCCCUUGAGUCCAGUAGUUCCAGGCUGCAGUGAGCUAUGAUCCUGCCACUACACUGCAGCCUGGGAAACAGAGGGAGUUCCCCAUCUCUUGAAAAAAAAAGCGGCAUCCAUAUUCUAAGUAUAAAUUAUUAUUAUUUGUCUAGGUUUUGCCAAUGCACUUUAUUAUAUAAUAUUAAGUAUUGAUUAAACUUACAUAUGGUAUACAAUUAGCUAUUUCUUUCCUAAAUGUAAGAAAUCUUCUUAUGUUUUUAUGUUUUUAAGAAGAGGAAAACUAACCUGAAUCUUAAACACAUUUCAUGUAUGAUACACUUCCUAUAUUACUCUUAUAAGACAAAGACAAUAUCAAAUAAAGAAAAUCUUGACAAUUAUGUAGUCAUAAGCUUUUAAACAAGAACCAAAUAGAUACUAGAUGAAUUUUCUCCUUUGGAUAUAAAAAAAAAUACUGAAGAUGUAGUCAUUUCGGGCAGCUGCAUUCCAUAUUUAGGGAAAGUUAUACAGUUUUUUUUUCAAAAAAAUAUUAAAUAUUAUUAAGAUAUUGAAAGAAAAUGAGAUAUGUUAUGCAUGUUCCUAGUAUAUCCCACACUAAUAAACACAUUUUUACAAAACUUUAUAAUAUAAUAGAUAUGUAAUGAUGUAUUUAUAUAAUGUGAUUGUUUUCUAAAAGCAGUAAAACAACAAAAUAUUCAAAGUCUAUUUAUAUAUAUUAAUAUUAUGUUUUGUAAAUUUUUUCUUCUAAUUGAACUUUUAAAACAGUUUUAAAGUACUGUCAGAAACUUAUGGUGAUGACUUUGAAAAAUAAAGGAUAAU